rnacentral:misc_RNA from 1 species
CAACCCCUCGAGCAAAUUGCUUGGUCUUGGGCCCCGCCACUCAUCUGGCGGGCCUUAAAAUCAGUGGCGGUGUGCCACCAGGCCCUGAGCGUAGUAAAACAUCCUCGCUACAGGGUACUGGUAGACGCUGGCCAGCAACCCCCACCUCCUAU